AGGAUAAACGCUGGCGGCGUGCCUAACACAUGCAAGUCGAACGUCUCUUCUUUCGGGAAGAGGAGUGGCGGACGGGUGAGGAACACGUGGGAACCUGCCCUUUAGUGAGGAAUACCGGCGAGAAAUCGCCGACAAGACCGCAUAGCCCUCUUUGAUGAGAGUCAAAGAAGGAAAGCUUCGCAAGAGGCGCUAGAGGAGGGGCCUGCGUCCGAUUAGCUAGUUGGUGGGGUAAGAGCCUACCAAGGCGUCGAUCGGUAGCUGGUCUGAGAGGACGAUCAGCCACACUGGGAUUGAGAACGGCCCAGACUCCUACGGGGGCAGCAGUGAGGAAUUUUCGGCAAUGGGGGAAACCCUGACCGAGCAACGCCGCGUGCAGGAAGACGGCCUUCGGGUUGUAAACUGCUUUUCUUUGGGACGAGAACGGACGGUACCAGAGGAAUCAGCCCCGGCUCACUACGUGCCAGCAGCCGC
rnacentral:rRNA from 1 species